UACGAAGGGGGCUAGCGUUGUUCGGAAUUACUGGGCGUAAAGCGCACGUAGGCGGAUUUGUUAGUCAGGGGUGAAAUCCCGGGGCUCAACCUCGGAACUGCCUUUGAUACUGCAAGUCUCGAGUCCGAUAGAGGUGGGUGGAAUUCCUAGUGUAGAGGUGAAAUUCGUAGAUAUUAGGAAGAACACCUAUGGCGAAGGCAGCUCUCUGGGACGGUACUGACGCUGAGACGCGAAAGCGUGGGGAGCGAACAGG
rnacentral:rRNA from 1 species